GGACGGGGCGGGCGCCUACACAUGGCAGUCGACGAGAACACCUCUUCGGAGGUGUGGAUAGUGGCGAACGGCUGAGUAACACGUGGGCAACCUGCCCCUCUCAUCGGGAUAGCCUCGGGAAACCGGGGAUAAUACCGGAUACUCCAACGCUUUCGCAUGGAAGCGUUGGGAAAGCUCUGGCGGAGAGGGAUGGGCCCGCGGCCUGUUAGCUAGUUGGCGGGGUAACGGCCCACCAAGGCUUCUAUGGGUAGCCGGGUUGAGAGACCGACCGGCCACAUUGGGACUGAGACACGGCCCAGACUCCUACGGGAGGCAGCAGUGGGGAAUAUUGCACAAUGGGGGGAACCCUGAUGCAGCGACGCCGCGUGAGGGAAGAAGGUUUUUGGAUUGUAAACCUCUGUCCUUGGUAAAGAAGCAAGACGGUAGCCAAGGAGGAAGCCACGGCUAACUACGUGCCAGCAGCCGCGGUAAUACGUAGGUGGCAAGCGUUGUCCGGAAUUACUGGGUGUAAAGGGAGCGUAGGCGGUUAUGCAAGUUGAAUGUGAAAUCUAUCGGCUCAACUGAUAGGCUGCGUUCAAAACUGUAUAUCUUGAGUGAAGUAGAGGCAGGCGGAAUUCCUAGUGUAGCGGUGAAAUGCGUAAAUAUUAGGAGGAACACCAGUGGCGAAGGCGGCCUGCUGGGCUUUAACUGACGCUGAGGCUCGAAAGCGUGGGUAGCAAACAGGAUUAGAUACCCUGGUAGUCCACGCUG
rnacentral:rRNA from 1 species